AGAAUCUCUGACGCCUAUUGGGGAAGGUUUCCUGGGCAAGGUUCGUCCACCCAGGGUUAGUCGGGUCCUAAGACGAGGCCGAAAGGCGUAGCCGAUGGACAACAGGUUAAUAUUCCUGUACUUUCUAUAAAUGUGAUGGAGUGACGGGGGAGGAUAGUACUACCACUUAUUGGAUUGUGGGGUAAAUAACAACUGGGUUAUGUAGGCAAAUCCGCAUAAUUUUAACCGGGAGUUAUGAUGCAUAGCAAAAGGGCGACCAAGUAGCGAAUUGGAUGAUUCCAUACCUCUUAAAAAAGCUUCUAACAUAAAGUUUAUAUGAAACCCGUACCAAGAACGGACACACGUCCCCAAGAUGAGUAUUCUAAGGCGAGCGAGAAAACCAAUGUCAAGGAACUCUGCAAAUUCAUCCCGUAAGUUCGCAAGAAGGGAUGCCCACCCUAAAAAGUGGGCCGCAGUGAAUAGUAAGGGGGAACUGUUUAUCAAAAACACAGCUCUAUGCUAAGUCGUAAGACGAUGUAUAUGGGGUGACUCCUGCCCAGUGCCCGAAGGUUAAGCAAAGGUGUUAGCAUUUGCGAAGCAUUGAUGUGAAGCCCGGGUGAACGGCGGCCGUAACUAUAACGGUCCUAAGGUAGCGAAAUUCCUUGUCGGCUAAAUACUGACCUGCACGAAAGGAGUAAUUAUCUCUUAACUGUCUCGACAUUGGACUCGGUGAAAUUAUGGUUCCGGCGAAGACGCCGGAGACCCGCAUCUAGACGAAAAGACCCCGUGGAGCUUUACUAUAACUUCAUAUUGGAGUUUGAUUUAACUUGUGUAGGAUAGGUGGGAGACUAUGAUGCUUAAACGCUAGUUUAAGAAGAGUCGCCGUUGAAAUACCACCCUUGUUAAAUUGAACUUCUAACUUGUUACCAUUACCUGGUAAGAGGACAGUGUGUGGUGGGUAGUUUGACUGGGGCGGUCGCCUCCUAAAAGGUAACGGAGGCGUUCAAAGUUACACUCAAUACGGUCAGAAACCGUAUCAGAGAGCAUAAAGGUAGAAGUGUGAUUGACUGUGAGACCUACAAGUCGAGCAGGUGCGAAAGCAGGACUUAGUGAUCCGGCGGUUCUUUGUGGAAAGGCCGUCGCUCAACGGAUAAAAGCUACCCCGGGGAUAACAGGCUUAUCUUUCCCAAGAGAUCACAUCGACGGGAAGGUUUGGCACCUCGAUGUCGGCUCAUCGCAUCCUGGAGCUGGAGUCGGUUCCAAGGGUUGGGCUGUUCGCCCAUUAAAGCGGUACGCGAGCUGGGUUCAAAACGUCGUGAGACAGUUUGGUUCCUAUCUGAUGUGGGCGUUGGAAUAUUGAUGAGAGCUACUCUUAGUACGAGAGGACCGGAGUGGACGUACCGAUGGUGUUCCAGUUGUUUUGCCAAAAGCAUAGCUGGGUAGCCAAGUACGGCAGGGAUAACCGCUGAAAGCAUCUAAGCGGGAAGCCCCCUCAAAGAUGAGUAUUCCCUAUUAAAUUCCUUAUAGACUAUGAGGUUGAUAGGCUGGAGGUGUAAGUAUAGCAAUAUAUUCAGCUGACCAGUACUAAUAAAUUGAUUGGUUUAAUAGU
rnacentral:rRNA from 2 species